UGCCAGCAGCCGCGGUAAUACGGAGGGUGCAAGCGUUGUUCGGAAUUAUUGGGCGUAAAGCGCGUGUAGGCGGCCGGGUAAGUCGGAUGUGAAAGCCCGGGGCUCAACCCCGGAAUUGCAUUCGAAACUACUCAGCUAGAGUCUCGGAGAGGAGGGCGGAAUUCCCGGUGUAGAGGUGAAAUUCGUAGAUAUCGGGAGGAACACCAGUGGCGAAGGCGGCCCUCUGGACGAUGACUGACGCUGAGACGCGAAGGCGUGGGUAGCGAACGGGAUUAGAUA
rnacentral:rRNA from 1 species